rnacentral:rRNA from 1 species
AGAGUUUGAUCCUGGCUCAGGACGAACGCUGGCGGCGUGCUUAACACAUGCAAGUCAGGGGGAAAGUUUUCUUCGGAGAAUGAGUAUACCGGCGGACGGGUGAGUAACGCGUAGGCGACCUGCCCUUAUGUUUGGGAUAACCUUGGGAAACCGGGGCUAAUACCGGAUGUGGUCAUGUAUUUACGGAUAGAUGAUUAAAGCCUUCGGGCGCAUAAGGAGGGGCCUGCGUCCCAUUAGCUUGUUGGUAGGGUAACGGCCUACCAAGGCGACGAUGGGUAGCUGGUCUGAGAGGAUGAUCAGCCACACUGGGACUGAGAUACGGCCCAGACUCCUACGGGAGGCAGCAGUGGGGAAUAUUGCGCAAUGGGCGAAAGCCUGACGCAGCGACGCCGCGUGAGCGAAGAAGCUCUACGGAGUGUAAAGCUCUUUUGCACGGGAAGAAAACGGUUACAGACCAAUUGACGGUACCGUGCGAAUAAGCCCCGGCUAACUACGUGCCAGCAGCCGCGGUAAUACGUAGGGGGCGAGCGUUGUCCGGAAUCACUGGGUAUAAAGGGCGUGUAGGCGGCCAGAUAAGUUGGAUGUGAAAGGUUACGGCUCAACCGUAGAUUGUCAUUAAAAACUGUCUGGCUUGAGUUCAGUAGGGGGUGGUGGAAUUCCUGGUGUAGCGGUGAAAUGCGUAGAUAUCAGGAAGAACACCGGAGGCGAAGGCGGCCACCUGGGCUGACACUGACGCUGAGGCGCGAAAGCGUGGGGAGCAAACAGGAUUAGAUACCCUGGUAGUCCACGCUGUAAACGAUGGGUACUAGGUGCUGGCAUGGUGAAUGUCGGUGCCGCAGCAAACGCAUUAAGUACCCCACCUGGGGAGUACGAUCGCAAGGUUGAAACUCAAAGGAAUUGACGGGGGCCCGCACAAGCGGUGGAGCAUGUGGUUUAAUUCGAUGCAACGCGCAGAACCUUACCGGGGCUUGAACUGCCGGUGAUCUGCCUGAAAGGGUUAGUGUCCAGGCUUGCCUGGAAGCCAGUGGAGGUGCUGCAUGGCUGUCGUCAGCUCGUGUCGUGAGAUGUUGGGUUAAGUCCCGCAACGAGCGCAACCCUUGCCCUUAGUUGCUCGCCUGUAUAGGCAGCACUCUAAGGGGACUGCCGGUGAUAAACUGGAGGAAGGUGGGGAUGACGUCAAGUCCUCAUGGCCCUUACGUCCCGGGCUACACACGUGCUACAAUGGUCGGUACAACGAGUCGCAAGACCGCGAGGUGGAGCAAAUCUCUGAAAACCGAUCUCAGUUCGGAUUGCAGUCUGCAACUCGACUGCAUGAAGUCGGAAUCGCUAGUAAUCGCGGAUCAGCCACGCCGCGGUGAAUACGUUCCCGGGCCUUGUACACACCGCCCGUCACGCCAUGGAAGCCGGUAAUACCCGAAGCCGGUGUCCCCCUCGGGGGGCCGUCGAAGGUAGGACUGGUAACUGGGGCGAAGUCGUAACAAGGUA